AAGUUUUUUAUUCAAUUAUGAUGUUAAAUUGCAAAUUUAAAGGUAAUUUUUUAUUAAGUUAAAAACU
rnacentral:tRNA from 1 species